GACGAACGCUGGCGGCGUGCUUAACACAUGCCAGUCGAACGGAAAGGCCCUGCUUGCAGGGUACUCGAGUGGCGAACGGGUGAGUAACACGUGGGUGAUCUGCCCUGCACUUCGGGAUAAGCCUGGGAAACUGGGUCUAAUACCGGAUAGGAGCCAUUUUUAGUGUGAUGGUUGGAAAGUUUUUUCGGUGUAGGAUGAGCUCGCGGCCUAUCAGCUUGUUGGUGGGGUAAUGGCCUACCAAGGCGGCGACGGGUAGCCGGCCUGAGAGGGUGGACGGCCACAUUGGGACUGAGAGACGGCCCAGACUCCUACGGGAGGCAGCAGUGGGGAAUAUUGCACAAUGGGCGCAAGCCUGAUGCAGCGACGCCGCGUGGGGGAUGACGGCCUUCGGGUUGUAAACUCCUUUCGCUAGGGACGAAGCUUUUUGUGACGGUACCUAGAUAAGAAGCACCGGCUAACUACGUG
rnacentral:rRNA from 1 species